rnacentral:rRNA from 1 species
UCAGUUACUUGGAUAACUGCGGUAAUUCUGGAGCUAAUACAUGCGAAAAAAUCCCGAACUCACGUGAGGGAUGCUUUUAUUAGAUCAAAACCAAACGUUGGUGACUCUGAAUAACUUUUGUAGAUCGUAUGGCUUGAUGCCGGCGACGUAUCCUUCUAAGGUGUGCCCUAUCAACUGUCGACUGUGGCAUAGACGCCCACAGUGGUUUUGACGGGUAACGGGGAAUCAGGGUUCGAUUCCGGAGAGGGAGCCUGAGAAACGGCUACCACUUCUAAGGAAGGCAGCAGGCACGCAAAUUACCCAAUGGUCGAAGACCGAGGUAGUGACGAAAAAUAACGAAGCCGGACUCAUCCGAGGCCCGGUUAUCGGAAUGAGUACACUUUAAAUCCUUUAACGAGGAACAAUUGGAGGGCAAGUCUGGUGCCAGCAGCCGCGGUAAUUCCAGCUCCAAUAGCGUAUAUUAAAGUUGUUGCGGUCAAAAAGCUCGUAGUUGGAUUUCGGUGAGCAAGGAGGGGUUCAUUGUUUGAUGUAACUGCUAUCUUGUCUCGCGAUUUUCGGCAGAGGUUUCACUGGUGCCUUUCAAAGGGUGUCUUGAGAUGCUGUCGGGUUUACUUUGAAAAAAUUAGAGUGCUCAAAGCAGGCUGUUAAAAGCUUGAAUAUUCGUGCAUGGAAUAAUGAAAUAGGAAGUCGUUUCUAUUUUGUUGGUUUUCGGAAAUCGACUUAAUGAUUAAUAGGGACAGUCGGGGGCAUUAGUAUUCAGGCGACAGAGGUGAAAUUCUUGGACCGUCUGAAGACUAACUACUGCGAAAGCAUUUGCCAAGAAUGUUUUCAUUAAUCAAGAACGAAAGUUAGAGGUUCGAAGGCGAUCAGAUACCGCCCUAGUUCUAACCAUAAACGAUGCCAGCUAGCGAUCCGCAGUUGUUUUUAUUACGACUCUGCGGGAAGCUUCCGGGAAACCAAAGCUUUUGGGUUCCGGGGGAAGUAUGGUUGCCAAGCUGAAACUUAAAGGAAUUGACGGAAGGGCACCACCAGGAGUGGAGCCUGCGGCUUAAUUUGACUCAACACGGGAAAUCUCACCAGGCCCGGACACUGGAAGGAUUGACAGAUUGAGAGCUCUUUCUCGAUUCGGUGGGUGGUGGUGCAUGGCCGUUCUUAGUUGGUGGAGUGAUUUGUCUGGUUAAUUCCGAUAACGAACGAGACUCUGUCCUGCUAAAUAGUUUCAAUGUCAUUUUUUUUGCAUUGAAAAUUCUUCUUAGAGGGACUGGUAGCGUCUAGCUACACGAGAUUGAGCAAUAACAGGUCUGUGAUGCCCUUAGAUGUUCUGGGCUGCACGCGCGCUACACUGAAAGGAUCAGCGUGUGUUCCCUGACCGAGAGGUUCGGGUAACCCGUUGAACCCCUUUCGUGGUAGGGAUCGGGGCUUGCAAUUAUUCCCCGUGAACCAGGAAUUCCCAGUAAGCGUAAGUCAUAAGCUUACGUUGAUUACGUCCCUGCCCUUU